rnacentral:rRNA from 1 species
AGGGAAACUUCUGAUAAUACUGGAUAAGUUAGUAUAUCGCAUGAUAUGCAAAUGAAAGCUACGGCACUAAAGGAGAGCUUUGCGUCCUAUUAGCUAGUUGGUAAGGUAAGAGCUUACCAAGGCGAUGAUAGGUAGCCGGCCUGAGAGGGUGGACGGCCACAAGGGGGACUGAGAUACGGCCCUUACUCCUACGGGAGGCAGCAGAC